rnacentral:tRNA from 1 species
GCCGGGGUAGUUUAGUGGUAAAACAACUCCAUGGUAAGGAGUAGACUGCGGGUCCGAUUCCCGCCCUCGGCUCAA